CCUCACGCGCAGGGCCAGGCCUGAGGCUGGCCUCCUUCAGGGUACGUGACUGCAUGGGCUUCGCGUGUGAUGCGUCUCAUCCGUCCUGCAAGAGCUUCCUGUUGGGCGCGCUGACUUCGGGAGGGAGGCGGAGCUUGCACUGGGGCGCUGGUCAUGAAGCAUUUGCUCGGUGUGUGACGAAUGGCCCGGGUUCCGUCUGUUGCCCAUGCCCAACGCCACUGAGUCGCAGGGGUCUCCACAGGGCCCCCCACUGGCCCGCACCUGCCACUCUGCAGGGCGUCCCGCCGAAGGCUGACCCUGUGCAUGGCUGCGCCUGCAGGUGUGUCCUCGCCGCUUCCGCUCCCAUCCCAAUGCCCCCAGACCCAGAGGGAUGACCCCCUUCGGGGAAGAGCCCGAGGGCCUGCCUGCUGUGCGCGCUGAUCUUCCUGGUGCUUGAGGAGAGGUUGCCCGUGGCCCGUUCGCAUUCUUCAUGACGCACAAUACACGGUCGGCCUCUCUUCAGUAUCACAUCCCGCCUUGCAUGCCUCCUGCAAGCUCGCCAGUGUCCGGUGCCCAGCGGCCAGCGACCAGCGUCCACGAAGGCGGAGCACGCGCCGACUCAUCCGGGGCCAUGGGGCGGGCCGUGGGCGGGGCCGUCUGAGGAAGGAGCCUCCGUGUGCAGUCAGCCCUGCUCAGUGGUACCUGGCAUAGGUUGUCUGUGAGGUGUUCACUUUCUAUACGAUGAAUAUUAUACAGUCAACCUCUUCCCGGUAUCAAAUCCCGCCUUGGACGACUUCUGCUCUGGUGCAGACUCCGGGCGGCAGAAGCCUCCACGCGGGUUGACCCGUGGACUUGGUUUAGGACCUGUGCCGCUGGCCUCUUCAUUUUCCAGCUGCAUCCGUUCUGGAGGGUUCCCGAGAGCAGCGCGGAGCGGACUCCGUGGUUCCCGCGGUCCCAGACGGCCCUGCUGGGCCCAGGUGCUGGGCUAGGUUUACCUGCUGACUCUUAUUUCCCGCUGGCACCCUCACCCCCACCCCAGCCCUGCCGAGACCCAGGCACGGCAGGAUCGCCCAGGGCAGGGGAAGGGUCCAGGGCCCCUGGAAAGGUGAACUCGAAGAGCACCUCCAGAGGAUGACCUAGGGCUGUUUGGUAUUUGCUAAUUGCCCUCUGGGCUCCAGGAAGCCAUUUCUGAGCCUGGCUUGCAUCAUCCCCACUGGCAAGAGAUAACUUCCUUGCCUUGGAAAUCUCAGCUCUGGGCAUGCCUUUCCCCAUGGGCUGCUCCUCGGGCCGUGGCCUCUCUGUGCCCAGCACGUAGCGAGGGGUCGCCCCAGCUCCAGGAAGAUCAGCAGUGACCUUGCCAGUGGGGCGUCAGGCCUUCAAGCUCUACAGAUGCGCCUCCUUCUGCUGGGGUGCCCACCCCUCCUCUCCAGCCCCUCAGCCAUAGCCCUGCAGGAGAGAUCGCCCUUUCUGGCCUGGACCGCUACCCAGGCCCCCCAUCUGCGUCUCCUUCCCGUCCCCCUCCUCCUUCUGCCAGGGAGAACCUUCCAGAGUGCAGUCUGGCUCUCUCUGCCCUGCCCAGAGCCCCUCCGUGGCACCCCUGCCCUCAUGCUCGGCUCUAAAACAGUAACUAGUGUCUCAAGGCCCCCAGACUGGCCAACCUCACCCCCUGCCCCUCCCUGCCUAUGACACUUUACGGUGUAUGCCCAUUUUUACGUCCAUCCGUCCUCCUGCCGGGAGCUGAGUCCCUGGUGGCCGCCUCUGUGCAGCCUGCCCUGACGCCCUUCCCCCCAUCCGGGGUGCAGGCCUCCCUUAGCCCCCCAUGCCCUGUAUGUUCUUUCCUGGGACACUGCAGAAUCUCUUGCUCUUUGCUUCACCCCGCCCCCACCAAGAGUUGCCCCCUUUCUAGAGCAGGGGUUUGGGAUUCUGGAGGUGUUGAAAUGUCCCUUGCUCAGCAAGGCUGUCCCUGAUCACCCAGCCUAGCUCCCACCUCUUCCCAGCAACCUUCUCUCAUCACCUUGUUACCAUUGUCUUCCUAGCUUAUCCAAAAUUACCUGAUGUUAAUAUUUUCUUUCUCUCUCUCCUCUAGACUGUAAAAUUUCUCAGGGCAGGAAAUUUUUCUGUCAUGUUGCCUGCUGUGCCUCCAGCCCUGGGAUCCAGGCCAGGCCCACAAUAGCAGAAUGCAGCCAGGAGGAAAGUCACCACAGACCCUGGAGCCAGAGGAUCGGUGACUCGGGGCCAUUGCCCAGGCGCCGUAAGUAAGCCAGCCGAAGGUUCCAGCUCAGGGGUGCUCGCUGAGUUCCGGUGCCUGUGUGGGCAAGGGCCCCAUGGCCCCAGAUUCUCUUUGCAUGAUGAGGUAGGCUUACUUUUCCCAACACACAGCUUGCCAUCCUUUUCGUGGUUUUCCCCUGCACCCACCUGGCACCUCCAGUUUGGUGCCGUUCCUCCUGGAAUGGAGUGUUUUCAGUUGGGUGCAGUGCCCACGGCCCUUGGCCCGGAGAGUGGGCCGCUUGCUCCAGAAGAAGACCCAAAGCACAGUGGGAGUCUAAAUACCAAAGACCACGUUGAGUGUCUUCGAGCGCGUUUGACGGCUGUAUCCACCCCUCGGGCGAGUACAGAUCAAGUCAGGACAGUUGGUAGGCAAGAAUGAGUGCUCAGACCAGCCCGGUGAGCUCUGCAGGGUGGACUCGGCACCCCUCCCCUCCCCCAGGCUCCCUCUCCUCUCUGCUCUGCCCCACGCUUGCUUGUACCACCCUGCACAGAGUCAGCGGCUGGUGCAGCUCUGGGGACCCAUGGAGCUCACAGUCCUCAUGGGUCCUUGAGGAUGCAAAGACCCCCCCAAAUGCCAGGGCUGAGUGAGACCCUUGAGUUUAUUCCCCUCCUCUUCCGUCCCUCUACUCGCAUCCUCAUACACGUAAGAAAACUGACAUCCAGGGCGGUAGAAUGCUUGGCUGUGACUGUUUUUCCUAAGGGUGGUCUUAAGCUUUGGGGUCUAGACCACCUCUGGCAAAUAAGCAGUUUCCCUCUUGGUAACGACAGGGGUGACCCAGCACCCCAGGGCUACGGGAACGCCAAGCGGGACUCAAUACCUCAUUUCUCAGGGGCUUGCUGGGGGUGACGCUGCUGCCCUGCUCCAGAGCUUCUAGAAGCCAGCGCCUUCGCUCUGCAGUGCCAGCUCAUAGUAGGUGCUCAGCUAACGCCUGGAUCAAAGCUGGGCUCAGACACCAGCGCAAAGUAAGUAUCCGACCUGGGAGUGUAUUGAAUCAGGUCUUUAUUGCCGGGAGGAAGCACACAGGAGGCACUGGGAGGACAUUUGUGGAAUGAAUAAAUAAAAGCAUGCUCUUUGAGGGAAUAAAGGAGCAGAGAAACCAGGAAGAACCUGGGGGAGACAGACAUAAAUCUCCAGCAAGCACCGCCAAGCUUCUGCAGUCAAGGUUGCUGAAAAGACCCUGCGGAGACAGAGGGGCCAUUUGUCACUGCGGGGACGGGCUUGAGGGCCAGGAAGCAAGGGCAGGAUGGAACCUUGUUCAUCACUUCCGCAUUAUCCCGGCGGCAAUGGAGGGGAGCCCACGGCCAUGCCGCCUGCCUGGCGGAAUGAGUGCCGGGCUAGGGGUGGGGAAGGACCCCGAGGAAGGGCAGGCUGGGCUGGAGGAGGAGGCAGCCAUCUCAGAGCCCACCUCAUGCCCUUGGCGCUGCAGUUGUUGUUUUCAUACCUAUGAGUCCCUAUCCAGGGCUCCGCUCCAGUGCCACUUCCUACAGGAAGCCCUCCCUGAUCCACCCCUCCACACAGAACCUCAAUCUGCAGUCAGAUGUCAGUCCUCUGAUCCUUUGAUCAAUAGGUAUCUCCUGGCCCAGCCUGCACGCUCCAUGGGGACAGGGGCUGUUUCUGGUGUGGUGGCUGUGAGGCCCCUGUGCUUGGUUCGGCCCGGGGAAGGCACUGCAUGAUGCUGGUUAGCCCUGUCUUGCCUUUGCAGGCACUCUGGACCUGGCACUCGACAGGUGCCCAGUGCAUGGACAUCCCAUGGGCGGAGCCUUGGGUUGACCCCAACCAGGAGCCAAGGGCUGGGCCAGAGGUGGCUGCAAGGACCGCUUCUGCCUAGAGAGAUGUGACUGUGAGCUUGGGAUCCUGGCCCAACCCUGGAGGCAUUCCUUGGAUCUGUGGCCAGCUUGCUUUCUCUGAACCCAUCUUGGAGUCUCAGCCCUUUCCUCUCCUGAUCCCAUCUCCUGCUUCACACGACUGCACCAUGGUCCCUGGUGGUGAUCGAGGCAGAGGGCACCCACGCCCCAGGAGACAGAUGCACAGCGCCCUCCCUGCCUCACCCAGGAAGCUGGGGGAGGCCCCUGCACCCCCUAGCGUUUGAAGCACCCGGACUUGAGUACCGGGGGACCAUCCCGCGGCGGGAAGGACCGGCCUUCACGUGGACCGUGGGGAGGACCGAGGACCGUAUGGGCUCAUGGAGAUGCCAAGGUCCAUGCCCUGCCCCACCAGACAGCGGGGCUGGGAGGUGAAAACGCUGGUUAGAAGGACGUAAGAAUUCCUGCUCUUCCCUCUGAAGCACUUUGAAUCUUGUCAGACCAUUUGAGUAAUAAACACACAUCAU